AUUGAACGCUGGCGGCAGGCCUAACACAUGCAAGUCGAACGGUAACAGGAAGCAGCUUGCUGCUUUGCUGACGAGUGGCGGACGGGUGAGUAAUGUCUGGGAAACUGCUCGAUGGAGGGGGAUAACUACUGGAAACGGUAGCUAAUACCGCAUAACGUCGCAAGACCAAAGAGGGGGACCUUAGGGCCUCUUGCCAUCCGAUGUGCCCAGAUGGGAUUAGCUAGUAGGUGGGGUAACGGCUCACCUAGGCGACGAUCCCUAGCUGGUCUGAGAGGAUGACCAGCCACACUGGAACUGAGACACGGUCCAGACUCCUACGGGAGGCAGCAGUGGGGAAUAUUGCGCAAUGGGCGCAAGCCUGAUGCAGCCAUGCCGCGUGUAUGAAGAAGGCCUUCGGGUUGUAAAGUACUGUCAGCGGGGAGGAAGGGAGUAAAGUUAAUACCUGUGCUCAUUGACGUUACCCGCAGAAGAAGCACCGGCUAACUCCGUG
rnacentral:rRNA from 1 species